GAAUCAUACAGCAGAAAACGGAAAACAACUUAAUUCUUAUCCUCCCAUUUUCUCAGGUUGCCUCACGCUUCAUUGACAUGCCAAAAGAAAAAGCAACAGAGGGAGCCAUAAUAAUACACUCAAGCCCUCAGAGGAAGAUCUUCUUGAGAUAUGUAGGCAUAAGGUCCUUCAGUAUCUUCUUCCUUUUUUCCCUCCGUCUUUCCUUGAUACCUUUUGACACAACACAAACAGGGUUGGCUUGACACAAGUUGAGGAUUGAGAGUAGCCUAUUUGCUCCUGUGAUGCAGGCCUGGCCUGCAAAAUCUUGUUCUUGUUAGAAAUCAUUAGGGAGUGGAGUAGAGGAACACAACAUGUCAAAAUUAGAAGGAAAGACUGGAAUGUACUCGAAAGUGGGUAGUGGAGAAGCUGCAUGAGAAGUCAAAAAGACCCUCCACGGAUUGCUUCUGGUGGUUGUUGCAGUCAUGGAAGCUGUUCUGUGAUCAGAAAGAGGAUUUUCAAAGAGGUCAACGAUAGGCAAAAGCAGGAAGAGACAGAGAACAGAAGCUACAGCAUGCCUCAGAACUGCUGAAGAGUUGGGAGCUGGCGGUGUCAUCCAAAGCAGCCGAGUACUCCUUCCGUUGAGGUGCUACAGCUCUCUUCUUCUUGCCACCAUCACCACCCAGUGCAGCACUUGGAGGUGCAGCAGUGUGAAGGCAAGCGUCGGAGUUGUGAUAGCAGCAGCCAUGGUCAUCAUCUCCAUGCAGCAGUGGCGGCCCAGAGGACGCAUCGGAGACCAUGGACAAGUCCUCCUCUUCUUCUUCUCCACGGAAGGAGCUACCGUCGUGGUGGUAAAGCGAGUUCUGGUCAUCCAAAGAGUGGGCCAAGUACAAGGUCCAACCCGAUUGGCAACCACUGCUGUACUCGGAGCUCAUUGACCUGAAUCAACUCUACUAUUGCUCUAUCGAUUAUGUGUUCAAGUGGUGCUGGACUAGCUUCUUGUAGUAUAUAUAAGAGAGACAGGUAGAGGAAGAAGAAGAUGAAACAAGUAGCUGUGGAGGAAGGAGAGCCAGAUCACAGGCAAGCUUUGUCCUUGUGCCCCUGCCAUCCUUCACCCGGUCUUUGUGUUCCUCGGUACAGAUGAAAAUUAAGACGGCCAGUUGGGCAUUGGACGCUCUGCUGGUGAUCUUGGGGAGACAACUAAGAGAGAGAGAGAGAGAGAGAGAGAGAGAGGUCAGUCUCUUUCCAUGUGUGUGUUCAGUCAGCAAUGUGUUCUCUAUGUACAAAGGGAAGGAAACUAGAUGUGUAAACAAAAUGAUGAAAAGAAAAAGAACAAGAAAUAUAUGGCUUUUUAAUUAGAAGUAUAUGAGAACAAAACUAUGGUUUAUGAACAAAAUUAGUCUGUAGAAGCUGUAUGCUAAUAUUAGUCAAGUAAAAAUUUCUUUUA